ensembl:piRNA 21ur-7287 ncRNA
UUAUUCACUCUAAAGGAAACU